rnacentral:tRNA from 1 species
GUGGGCGUAGCUCAGCUGGAUAGAGCGUUUGGCUACGGACCAAAAGGCCGGGGGUUCGAAUCCUCUCGCCCACG